rnacentral:misc_RNA from 1 species
AAGUCGUAACAAGGUAUCCGUAGGUGAACCUGCGGAUGGAUCAUUAACGUGUAACAAGAAUAGUGACUGAAAGGUCGCUAUUCUUAUUAACUCUGUUAUACCCUUGUGGUUCUAUAGGAAACUAGAUGUGAUUGUGGUGGUUGAGGCUGGUUAAACAGCCAUAGACGCCACGAUCCUCUUCUUAACUAAAAACAUUAUCAUUACAUUAUUAAUCUAAAGUAACCUUGUGGAAUUGGAUAGAUUCGUCUAGACAAUCACCAAGUAAAACAAUAAUAAUCUAAUACAACUGCUAGCAACGGA